rnacentral:rRNA from 1 species
AACGAACGCUGGCGGCAGGCUUAACACAUGCAAGUCGAACGCAUGCCUUCGGGCAUGAGUGGCAGACGGGUGAGUAACGCGUGGGAACCUACCCCUUGGUACGGGAUAGCUCCGGGAAACUGGAGAUAAUACCGUAUGUGUCCUGAGGGACAAAGAUUCAUCGCCAAGGGAUGGGCCCGCGUCGGAUUAGCUAGUUGGUGGGGUAACGGCCUACCAAGGCGACGAUCCGUAGCUGGUCUAAGAGGACGAUCAGCCACAUUGGGACUGAGACACGGCCCAAACUCCUACGGGAGGCAGCAGUGGGGAAUAUUGGACAAUGGGCGCAAGCCUGAUCCAGCCAUGCCGCGUGAGUGAUGAAGGCCCUAGGGUUGUAAAGCUCUUUCACCGGUGACGAUAAUGACGGUAACCGGAGAAGAAGCCCCGGCUAACUUCGUG